rnacentral:misc_RNA from 1 species
AUCCAAAAGUGUCCAUUUUCUUGGAAACUAACUGAAAAGAGAGAGAUCCCAGAAACUCAUUAAAGAAUUGGUGGAGCGCCAAAAUAUAAUCAAUGAAACCAUGGGGAAUAGAAAAAUGAAAAACAAAUAGUAUUUCUCACCUAAACUCUCUUAUAAUAAUUAGAUCAAUGCAAACGACCCAUGUGUGGACUGCAAACGACCCAUAAGAUGAUCAUUUAUUACUA